UACGUAGGGUGCAAGCGUUGCCCGGAUUUAUUGGGCGUAAAGGGCGCGUAGGCGGCUCUGCACGUCCGUUGUGAAAUCGCCCGGCUCAACUGGGCGGGGUCAGCGGAUACGGCAGAGCUUGAGCAAGCUAGGGGGCAAUGGAAUUCCCGGUGUAGUGGUGGAAUGCGUAGAUAUCGGGAGGAACACCCGUGGCGAAGGCGGCCAUCUGGACCAGCACUGACGCUGAGGCACGAAAGCGUGGGGAGCAAACAGG
rnacentral:rRNA from 1 species